rnacentral:piRNA from 1 species
UCACAGGUGAAAUGGUGUCUGACCACUGGC